rnacentral:lncRNA from 1 species
UGGCGACUGGUUGUUUGAGCGGCCUCGUAUGCUGGUAGGGGAGCGCGGCGGGCUUCCCCUGCUGCUUGGGGUUGCUCUUCCGCAGGCUUCCCGCCGCCGCCUGGAUGGCUCUGGUUCCUAUGAGGCUUUCCCCUCCGCUUCCUCCCUGGAUACUGUGAUUCUCUGGCUGAAAUGUUAAGGAUGAUAUCUGUUUGCUGGCACUGGGUCCUGAGGGAGCCAAGGUUUUCUGAAUAAAAGCAUCCGAGAAAUGCUUUUGGAAGUGCUU